rnacentral:rRNA from 1 species
UACGUAGGCAGCAAGCGUUGUUCGGAAUUACUGGGCGUAAAGAGUGUGUAGGCGGUGCUCCAAGUCUGGUGUGAAAUCUCCCGGCUCAACUGGGAGGGUGCGCUAGAAACUGGAAUGCUAGAGGAUGGGAGAGGUAAGCGGAAUUCCUGGUGUAGCGGUGAAAUGCGUAGAUAUCUGGAAGAACACCAGUGGCGAAGGCGGUCGACUGGCCCGUAACUGACGCUGAGGCACGAAAGCGUGGGGAUCAAACAGG